GAGUUUGAUCGUGGCUCAGGAUGAGCGCUAGCGGCAGGCUUAACACAUGCAAGUCGAGGGGUAGAGUUAGCUUGCUAACUUGAGACCGGCGCACGGGUGCGUAACGCGUAUGCAAUCUACCUUGUACAGGGGGAUAGCCCAGAGAAAUUUGGAUUAAUACCCCAUAGUGUUAUGAUGUGGCAUCACAUUAUAACUAAAGUUCCAAACGGUACAAGAUGAGCAUGCGUCCCAUUAGCUAGUUGGUGUGGUAACGGCAUACCAAGGCAACGAUGGGUAGGGGUCCUGAGAGGGAGAUCCCCCACACUGGUACUGAGACACGGACCAGACUCCUACGGGAGGCAGCAGUGAGGAAUAUUGGUCAAUGGGCGCAAGCCUGAACCAGCCAUGCCGCGUGCAGGAUGACGGUCCUAUGGAUUGUAAACUGCUUUUGUACAGGAAGAAACACUCCCUCGUGAGGGGCUUGACGGUACUGUAAGAAUAAGGAUCGGCUAACUCCGU
rnacentral:rRNA from 1 species